GUGGCUGUAGCUCAGUCGGUUAGAGCAUCGGCUUGUGGUGCCGAGGGUCGUGGGUUCGAAUCCCAUCAGCCACCCCA
rnacentral:tRNA from 1 species